UCCCAGUGGGGGGAAAAGUCAUGUGUAUCUUCUCUCUCAUCCUAGUCCUAGAGCCUGUGAAGGUGAACCCACUGGGGCUGGCUUGGGGGAGAAGCGAGAAAGUUCCAGAAGGAACUGCCUUAGAGAU